rnacentral:rRNA from 1 species
GGCGGCAUGCCUAACACAUGCAAGUCGAACGGUAACAGGCCCGCAAGGGUGCUGACGAGUGGCGGACGGGUGAGGAAUACAUCGGAAUCUGCCCGGUUGUGGGGGAUAACGUAGGGAAACUUACGCUAAUACCGCAUACGACCGAGAGGUGAAAGCGUGGGAUCCGCAAGGACCUCGCGCAGCCGGAUGAGCCGAUGUCGGAUUAGCUAGUUGGCGGGGUAAAGGCCCACCAAGGCGACGAUCCGUAGCUGGUCUGAGAGGAUGAUCAGCCACACUGGGACUGAGACACGGCCCAGACUCCUACGGGAGGCAGCAGUGGGGAAUAUUGGACAAUGGGGGCAACCCUGAUCCAGCAAUGCCGCGUGUGUGAAGAAGGCCUUCGGGUUGUAAAGCACUUUUAUCCGGAACGAAACGCGCCAGGUGAAUAGCCUGGUGAACUGACGGUACCGGAGGAAUAAGCACCGGCUAACUUCGUGCCAGCAGCCGCGGUAAUACGAAGGGUGCAAGCGUUACUCGGAAUUACUGGGCGUAAAGCGUGCGUAGGUGGUUUGUUAAGUCUGCUGUGAAAGCCC